rnacentral:rRNA from 1 species
AUUGAACGCUGGCGGAAUGCUUUACACAUGCAAGUCGAACGGCAGCACGGACUUCGGUCUGGUGGCGAGUGGCGAACGGGUGAGUAAUACAUCGGAACGUGCCCAGUCGUGGGGGAUAACGUAGCGAAAGCUACGCUAAUACCGCAUACGAUCUAAGGAUGAAAGCGGGGGAUCGCAAGACCUCGCGCGAUUGGAGCGGCCGAUGGCAGAUUAGGUAGUUGGUGGGGUAAAGGCUCACCAAGCCGACGAUCUGUAGCUGGUCUGAGAGGACGACCAGCCACACUGGGACUGCGACACGGCCCAGACUCCUACGGGAGGCAGCAGUGGGGAAUUUUGGACAAUGGGCGCAAGCCUGAUCCAGCCAUUCCGCGUGCAGGAUGAAGGCCCUAGGGUUGUAAACUGCUUUUGUACGGAACGAAAAGGCCCUGGUUAAUACCUGGGGCUCAUGACGGUACCGUAAGAAUAAGCACCGGCUAACUACGUGCCAGCCGCCGCCGUAA